GAAAAAAAAACCUACAAAGGCCGGAUCCUUGCGACGUGGGCGGCAGCGAUCGUAAAGAACAAUCUCUCUCCUUAUCAAGAAAUGGACUGAAAAGUUGGCAUUCCUCUUCCAUCACUGCAGGAUCCCCAUCAGCCUAUCAGAGAGCAGCACCUUCCCCCCAGAAAAGGUAAGGUUUGAGGGUGUCAGCAGUGAAAGGUACCAUGUAAAAUGAUGUGACCUGCAUAGCUGACCACCCUGUCACAGGAUCUGACACGCGGAUGUGACCCUUCUCCAGUGCCGGUCAACACCUGAAGUCUUCUGCCUCCUGCUCCUGAGAUGAUUUCACCUGAUGUGGUUUCACCGCGGUACAUGGUGUUGUCAUUGUGUCUACACUGGCAGAUCGGUGAUCUCUCGGCCAGACUGUCUACUAGCCAGCGCCUUCGAGGCCAACAGCCAUCUCAUGAAGUAUGCUCUUAAUUGUAUAGCCACAAGGAGGCAGGGUGAUUACAAAUUGGAUUUCCGAAAAAUAGAACUGGCACGGGUGGGAGUUUUGAACAAAA